rnacentral:lncRNA from 1 species
CAAGACCAGAGCCAUUUAUUCUUGUGGUAAGGUUCUCCAUGUUCCAAUUAAACAUUUAUGAUCUUGUAUUAAUGAGAGGCAUAACAUAAGUAAAGCAAGAUUAAUCAUUGAUUUUAGUUAAACCACCGUAACCCCAAGUAAGCAAUAAGCAUGAGCUACCCAACAUAAAAGUAAACCCGGUUGAUCAAGGCAAAGAUAAAGAAAUCUAGGCAAACCUUAAUAGGACCCAUCAAAUUAGAUGUAAGCAUAUGCAAUAGUGAUUAAUUAAAAUUAUUGGGACAAAAGCACAAGGACACACUUGCCUUUCUCCAAUGAAAAUUACUCUUACUACUCUUCGACUCUUACUCUCUUGAAACUCUUACUCUUCAAACCUUCCGAACGACGAUCCUUCUACUCGAAGCAACACCGCCACAAACAUACAAACAAGCGAACAAGUACAACUAAGAACAAUACACCAAUCAAAGAAAAAGCUUUAAAAGAGCGUACUAAUAGAUAGAGCUCGAUUCUAGGAUCACGCAAAUGUAGGAAACGCUGAGAAUGGAACUAGCAAGAUUGGCUUUAAAGAGUUAGCUGAAAGGUUUGCACACAAAGAAUUGGAAGAACAGGAUCUGAGCUUGAACUGGAAUCGGAAAGAUCUAAAGCUUUACUGAAGACUAGAUCUACAUAAGAGAUACUAAGCUAAAGCUGACAAAGAACGACGAUCAAAUGAUUUGCAUUUAUGAAAGCACAAAGGACUAUAAGCUUAGUUUAUUUUAAUUAGCAAAACAUGUGUAAAGGAUAUUCCAAAAAGAAAAUACCCUAAGUUGGAAUUAAUGCAAAUUACAUUUUAUUUGCAAAGAUCGAGGUAAAUCCUAGGCAAGUUUUACUCAUAAAUAUUUAUGUAUAAAUUAUACCAAUUACACGCUUAACUUUAGAAAGGUGAGAACAACUACUCGCAUAAACACAUAUGUUGUGUUGGCUAAACAAACUUUAUUUAGAAAACACAUUCAUGUUAUCAUUAGUCAUUUUAUCUAGUAUUAAGAAAAACAAUAUUUUAAUUACAAAUAUUGAAGUAUAGAUUAUACUAUUUGAUAUUUUGACUUUAGAAAGGCUAAAUUAUAUGAAGCAUCUAAACGUAUACUUUAUAUUUCGAGUUCAACUAAGCAGAUUAGAUUUAAAACACAUUUGUCUUUAUAUUAGCCAAAUUAAAAUUUACUCAUGAAAACUCGAGAUAUAACCUAUGUAGCUUUUAUUUAGAAAGGAAAUCGAAUUUAAUUUAUGAAAAAAUCGAGGUAUAUCUCUAAUUGGUUUUUAAUUGGAAGAAUUGUUUAAAUAGGCGUUAAUCAAAUUAACUUUAGUUUAUGAAAAACUGAUAUAUAACCUAAUUGACCUUUAUUUGGAAAGGAUAUAAAGUAGACAUUAAUCAAAUUAACACUUAUUAUGAAAAACGGUGUAUAACACUAAAUAGAUUUUUAUUUAAAGAAGAACUUGUUUAUCAGUCAUUAAUCAAUUUAAUAUCAAAUUUAUUUUCAAAAACAUGCGUGAAGGCAAACAUUACCACUAACGUGUAAUUUAUGUUGUUAUAAAUCUAACCCAACUAGAAUAAGGUUAAACGGAGCCUAAACGUAGAAUCUAUGAGGUAAAUGAGUUUGCAAGGACCUAAAUGUAAUUAACCGUAGUCUACAGGGGCUAGCAGAAAGAUUCACAGGACUCAAGAAACAGUGCUCGCGAAUUUGACAAAACUCAGGGUUAGAUCUAGAAAAAAAAUCAUGGCAAGGGCUCGGUUCAAAGGAUUUAAAAGAUCCAUGGGGUUACCUGCAGUUUUGCCAAGACACAAAGAAAGAUGGCACGAAUUAAAGGAUUUGUCAGGGGCUAAUCCGCAAACUGCCAGGCACCUUCUUCAACCUCCCGUCGGUGCCACUGGUGGGUUCAAAUCGGCGGCGCUCCGGCUGUUUGGGGACGACGGCGAGCACGGGAAUUGGAAGAGGAGGGCGAGGGGAUCGCGUGGAGGCGCUCACCGGUAGCGGAGGGGCACGGCAGCGGCCGAAAUUCGGCCAGCGGCGGUGGAGAACGGCGGAUGGCGGGCGGCUCGGAUCUUCACGCGGUGGCGCUGCUCCGGCGGCCAACUGAAGACGGGGUUGGGCUGGCUGGGUGCGUCUCGGCGCCCCGGUGCUCCCCGUGGGUCCAUCCCCCCGGCGGCCGACGAACGCGGCGAAUCGGGCGAGCAAAACCGACGACGGCGCUCGGCUCAGCGAAGCUCGCGGCGGCGGCGGCGCUCGCACAGGCGGCGGCGUGAGG